UUCAGAUGAUGUCAGAGCCAGUCUUUAAGAUAGAACCAAAACGAUGACCUCCUGUCCUGAUCUAUUUGGUGUGCGUGUGUGUAGGUGUGUGUAUGUGUGUGAGAGAGGUGUGGGCCUUUGUCAUGUUCUAAUGUCAUCACAGUAUCACAAUAUCAAACCCCCAAAGAACGACAGAAGCACUUCAUAUUUUAAAAGAGAUUUAUUUAUGUUUUCCCUCACAAAGUUGUCAAAUUACAAAUGUCACCUGUCAAAGCAAAGGAUACUUACUAAAAUAUGGACAUAUUUAUAUUCACUAUAAAUGUAAAAACCAUGAAACGACUGCACCAAAAGAAGGAUCACCACAAACAAUGUAGCGCUGCCACAAGAUUCAGUUUGGUCUUACAGUGCUGAAGGAGGAAGAAGGUUUGGAGAGUGGCAUCUGGUUGGAGGUGGAUGGGGUGUUGUGUCUGGAGGUAUGUGUGACAGAGAUUGGAUUGGGACAGAGGCUUAGGGAAGAGGAGUGGAGAGGGAUGGGGAUGCAGGAGGGUGUGUGUGUGUGUGUGUGUGUGUGUGUGGUAGGGGGCUGCUGCCUCACCCAGAAGAUCCUCAAAUAGGACACAAGACGUCCGUUUUUUCUUGACUGACUGAUGCUCGUCAGGAGGCUGGUCUCUAUGCUUCUCCCUCCCAGACCCCCCUCCCACACCCGUCAGCCAUGCUCAUUCCAAGCCAGAUCAACAGUCACCAGCAUCUGCCGUCUGCCCCCCUCUCCCCUCUCCCCGCCACCAACACCCCUCACGGCUGGGCCAGUCAACGUGACGGCUGGAUUACAUAACCGUGAGGUUCAAGAGGCUUUGGGGAGUGUGAGGAGUUGAUCCUCACGUGUUGUCCUCCAAUGGGCUGAAAUGCCAUUCUUAAAAUGACUCAUUCCUGACUCGAGGGCCAAGUUGUGGCUCCAAGUUGUUGCAGUCAUUGCAGCACAGUUAAGUUGAGCUACCAAUGAGAUCUCCAAUGAGAGACCCGGGUUCAAUUCCGUGGUUGCUAAACGACUGCCUCAAUCCCAAAUCUUAAUCUGUUCAAUAUGAGGCGUGGGAUUUCAUUUUUUGAAACAGAUGCAGUAGAGCCCAGUGUUCUGGCCACUUCUGCCGUGGGUCUGCCCUGCCUCAGCCUCAUCUUGCUGGGCCUUCCCACCUCUUCCUCCUACUGGAGCCUGAAGCCAGCAGAGCUAGGUCCUCAACAGGAGACUCAUCACAUCCUCCUGAUGGACCUCACGCAAACAGGACCCAGAUGACGGGCUCAAGGGUGUUCAUCGGAGUCUGACUAACUUAAUAUUUCCCUCCCUGGGGACGAGUGAAGCAGGCUCAAACACCCAGCAGGGAUUCCACCAGGAUGGUGCAUUGUGGGCCUGUCUUGGAAGGGUCAGAGGGUUGUGAUCCUAACUACUUCCUGGGUUAACCAGCAGACAUGAGGCAGUAGAGCAACGUGUGUGUGUGUGUGUGUUGGGUGGAGUUGGGGGGGGGAUUGGGGUUAAAGUGCAUUCUAUCUGCUCUGUGACCUUCACACACUGAUGAUGCCGUCAAGAGAAGCAAAGGCUUUAUUUCAAAUAUAUUUGUUUUUAUUAAGAAAUAAAAAUGUUUUACGUCUUGUAAAACCUGUUUAAAUACACAUUAUUCUGCUUACAGGUUAGCCAUAGAAAUACAAAAUAAAAACUCUCAAAUUCUUUACAAAUGUUUCUCUGCGAAUUUAAAAGAUUUCUCCUAAUACAUUCUGCGAAAGGAGGGGCUGGUAUGUGCUGUGUUUGCAGGUUAGGAGAAAACAGUAUUAGCAUGGGAGACAUGAGGUUUGCCUGGGUUGGAUGAUGGACUGGGAGGGAGUUAGCCUGGGAUAGGGGAGUUAACCUUGGAUGGAGAGUGGAGUUAGCCUGGGAUAGGGGAGUUAACCUUGGAUGGAGAGUAGAGUUAGCCUGGGAUAGGGGAGUUAACCUUGGAUGGAGAGUGGAGUUAGCCUGGGAUAGGGGAAUUAACCUUGGAUGGAGAGUGGAGUUAGCCUGGGAUAGGGGAGUUAACCUUGGAUGGAGAGUGGAGUUAGCCUGGGAUAGGGGAGGUAAUGGCAUGUUAAGAGUGGUGGAUAUGGAUACUCUCAUCUGAUAUUGUGCCAUUUGUUUUUCAGGGAUAAAGUUGGAGGGCUCCUUAGCCUAGCUCUGGCCACAGCUGCACUAACUACAUAUCUAGACUGGUCAUUUUCUCUGCUUUGUGGAGAUAUGUUCAGAGUGUCUCCCAAGUCAUGUUUGUCUACCAGGCCCCUUCCAUUCUGAUAUGGUCAUGGUGGGGACCACCACUAUCCUGGUGAACCAGUGAUUGGCGCGCUUCAGUGGGUGGGUUAGAGAGUUGAUGACGCCUAUAGGGGGCGCCAGGCAGUGCUACUGCUUUGAAUGUUUUGGUUGGUUGUGAUGGCAGUACAUCACUGUCAAAGCUUUUUUAUUGGCCCCUGAAAAUUGCAUUGAUGUUUUUCCUCAAAUGUUUGCAGGUUCAAACUUUCAAAACAUUUCAAAGUUAGUACCACGUUUCCCCAAAAAAAAAUGAAACAAAUACUUCUUAUUCUAAAAAGUAUAUUGCACAUUACAGAUUGCAGCUUAAUCGAUUAAACAGUUGCAGAGGUGAACCACUGCAGACAAAUGACUCAGACACAAGAUAUUUGGAUACAAAAGGCAAAUGUGAUUGAAAAACAAUCAAAAAUAAAACAUGACAUUUGAAUUAAACUGCGUUAGAAAAAAAUGAUAGAUGUGUAUCUAUGAACGUAACUGACUACAGCUUCAGUUCCCCUGGUGAGUUUCACAUUUCAACGUAGGGCUAGCGAGUGUGUCGCUUUUGGGCAUACUUGAUGCUCAUCAUGGAAGCAUCCGGUCCCACCCCUCCCUCAAAUGAAACUUUCUGGGCUCAGGUGAAGCUGAGAGAAGGAGGAGGAAGGAGAGAAGGGAGAACAGGAGGAGGGAGAUCUUAGGGAGUGUGACAAGGCAGAAGGGGGAGGGGCCCUUCUUAAGCCCUGCGGUGUGUGAGGGUCGGGGGGGAGGGGAGGGGAGGAGCAGCAAACUGUCAGCGUUGAGAGCGGAGUCAGCAUGACGACUAAGGACUGUAUCAGGGGCAGUGUAUGGGAGAAUGUCAUGAUGUCAUAGUGAUGUCAUAAAUGUGUACAAAUGACUGGGUCUAAUGAUGUCGUAGGCCAAAAGCCACCCUCUCUGGGGCAUCUCUGAUGUUGUUAGCUAAUGGAGAAAAAAACCAUGGCUAUGACGUCAGGUGGUUCCUGCUUAAGUUUGAUGCCAUCAGAAGAUGGUGCUGGUGUUACCAGCAUGAUGUGUGUGUGUGUGUGUGUGUCUGGUCCACCCACAAAGGGAGAAGUCACAUGAGAAAACCACUAGCUAUACACCCUCAUGCCUAGCACACGCCCUACAGUAAAACACACCUCCAGUAGAACACGCCUAGAACACGAGACAUGAAAAUGAAUGCACCGCUUUGCAGAGAUCUUUAACAUCUCUCGCACAGACAAGGAUGGAGCAUACCAUGACAGGGUUGGACUGUACCACAGGAGAGAGGGGCUGGCUAACACUGUAGCCCCGCUGAGACAGAGAGGAUUCACGGGGAUGUGGUCUCUGUAGCUGGUGGAGUUACAGUCAGCGGUGGUUUACGACAAACAUCAACAACAA